GAUGAAGAACGUAGCGAAAUGCGAUAAGUAGUGUGAAUUGCAGAAUUCAGUGAAUCAUCGAAUCUUUGAACGCGCAUUGCGCCCCUUGGUAUUCCAUGGGGCAUGCCUGUUCGAGCGUCAUUUGUACCUUCAAGCUUUGCUUGGUGUUGGGUGUUUGUCUCGCCUUUGCGUGUAGACUCGCCUUAAAAUAAUUGGCAGCCGGCGUAUUGAUUUCGGAGCGCAGUACAUCUCGCGCUUUGCACUCAUAACGACAGCGUCCAAAAGUACAUUUUACACUCUUGACCUCGGAUCAGGUAGGGAUACCCGCUGAACUUAAGAAUAUCAAUAAGCGGAGGA
rnacentral:misc_RNA from 1 species